UUUGGCUUGAAGAAUGCUAAAUGCACUGGUAAUCUAAAUCCUUCUCCUGUGAGUUAGUUGAGCAAAAUCAAUAGUCUGAAAUUAUAUGGUAGCAUGAUUAAACCUUUAAUUGCUGAUCAUCUUGAUAUCAUGCUUCAUUCUCAAGCUAAUGAUAAUUGUUUGAUGGUAUGAUUAAAUUGAAGUUCACUUUUGCCUGUAUAAUGCAUAACUAUGAAAUACACAAGUUUAUGCCUCAAGUUUCUAAUUCAAAAUAACUUGUGAUAAGCUAUGAAUCAUUGGACAUAAUGAAAAUGCUGUUUGCAUGAUAUAUAUUUAUAUGCAGCAUAUUAGAUUAAUUCUUUAUUCUGCUCUUUCAUGUAACUACUUGAAAAAUGACACAAAGAGAGAGAGAUAAAGAAAAAGAAAAUGAACAUUGCUCAGAAGAAGUAAAAGCUAAGUAAAUACUCCAAUCUUAAGGAAAAGAAAAAUAAGCAUAAUACAUUCGGCACAUUUGUGAGACUUGUGAAAGGGAUAAAAUCCGUAAUU
rnacentral:lncRNA from 1 species